CAUUACUAGUUACUAGUAUUAAACAGACAAACACUGACACAAAAUACUUGGCAGUCGAUUCUUGUGUGGAACGAAACGAAGCAAAACAAAAAAGCCCCAACUUGGAAUUCACCAUCAUCUUGCUCUUGAUGAUUGUGUAGUGGGCAGUGUGUGAGGGUUCUGAAGGGUUGAUUGCUCCUGAGAAUGGCUGACAUAGCAGGCCUGGCUGAGGCUGCAGGGGCAAGAUUUAGUUCACUGGAGCUCAUUGGACAGGGAUCAUUUGGCGAUGUGUACAAAGGGUUUGACAGGGAGCUCAACAAAGAAGUUGCUAUCAAAGUGAUUGAUUUGGAAGAAUCAGAGGAUGAAAUUGAGGACAUUCAGAAGGAAAUUUCUGUUCUGUCUCAAUGUCGAUCUCCAUACAUUACUGAGUAUUAUGGUUCCUUUCUUAAUCAAACUAAACUUUGGAUAAUAAUGGAAUACAUGGCUGGAGGUUCUGUUGCUGAUCUACUCCAAUCAGGUCCUCCACUUGAUGAAAUGUCAAUUGCUUGCAUUCUACGUGAUUUGCUUCAUGCAAUUGAUUACCUACAUAAUGAAGGAAAAAUUCAUAGAGACAUUAAAGCUGCAAACAUUUUAUUGACUGAUAAUGGUGAUGUAAAGGUUGCAGAUUUUGGUGUUUCUGCACAGUUAACAAGAACUAUAUCAAGGAGAAAGACCUUUGUAGGAACACCAUUUUGGAUGGCUCCUGAGGUUAUUCAAAACUCAGAAGGAUAUAAUGUGAAGGCAGAUAUAUGGUCUCUGGGCAUUACUGCAAUAGAGAUGGCAAAAGGGGAGCCUCCACUUGCUGAUCUUCAUCCAAUGAGAGUGCUUUUCAUCAUACCCCGAGAGAAUCCACCACAACUAGAUGAACACUUUUCUCGCUAUAUGAAAGAAUUUGUUUCAUUGUGCUUGAAGAAGGUUCCUGCCGAGAGGCCAAGUGCUAAGGAGCUUCUUAGACAUCGUUUCAUUCGGAAUGCUAGGAAGAGUCCAAAGCUAUUAGAGAGAAUAAGGGAGCGUCCAAAGUACCAAAUAAAGGAAGAUCAGAUGACACCUAGAAAUGCCCCAAGGGGGAUGGGGGAGGCAUCUGAUACUAUUAAGGUUGCCAAAGAUUUAAGGGGUGACGAAACUAAUCAGCCUAGUGGCCAAGGUAAAUCCCUGAGAAGUUCUGGAUGGGACUUCAGUAUUGGUGGAUCUCAAGGUACUGGAACCUUUCGUAGUGUCUCACGGCCACCACAGUUUAGAGAUAAGAAAAUUGAACUUUCAAAUCAUCAGCUUAACCAAAGAAAAAGUCCAGAGAGUGGCUAUCAAGUGGGAUCUGACAAUAAAAGUGCACAUAAUGAGUCACUAGAAACUUAUUUUGGAAAAGAUCUUGGAGUUGCCUACCAUGAUGAACAUCCUGAUAAUCACCUUGAAGAUCAGGAUGAAUUUUCUGGGAAUGGAUCAGGAACUGUUGUUAUUCGGUCUCCAAAAGGACCCCAGCCAUCACUGUUUCGUGACCAAAGUUCCCGGUCUAGCAGCAGCUAUGCUUCUUUUGAAGAUGUUUCUACUAGUGGAACUGUUGUUUUGCGUAGCCAGUACAAUGAUUCUGAUUCUCCACAGACACCAAGGUCCCGACUGGGACUUAAUAGCAGAAAUUCAAAUGCCUCACUGGAAGAUAGUGCUACAAAUCUUGCUGAGGCUAAGGUUGCUAUCCAAGGUGGAUUAAGGAAAGUGAAUAUCCGAGAGAGAUUUGCAUUGGGAAAACUCAACAAUGAUGUACAGGAUAGCAGGAGAGGUCAAAUAUCAAGCAGCUCUGAUUCUUCCAGACCAUCUCGUGAAUACUUUGAUGCACAAAAGGGAUUUUCAAGAUCACACUAUUCUAUUGAUGAUGAAGAAAGUGCCAAAAUAAUCUCAUCCUCUGCGCCGCUAUCCGUUUUGCUUAUUCCUUCAUUAAAAGAGGCCGUUGCUGAUGAUCCAGACGGGUCAAUAGUGCAAAUUGUUAUCGAUGCUCUUGUAAACAUGGAGAGUACAAAGCCUCAAUCCUGUGAUGUUCUUGUCAAAAAGUUGCUUCAGCAGUUGGCAAGAAAAACUAUUUGUGAAGUUCAAAGGAAUCUUCAUUGAAGGACCUGCAAGAACUGGCUGGCCAAAUAUUCAGCAAGACCAAAUCAGCUGAAGAAAACCGAAAUGCAGAGUCUGAUAACAAGAAGAAACAAAACAAGGAAGUUCAUUCAAAUAGCAAUUUAAGCCCUCUUGCAAGAUUUCUUCUCUCAAGAUGGCAAGGCCAAACCUCGCGGGAUCUAAAUCCAGCUUGAGCGGACUUAGAAGUUCAUUUUUGUGUGGAGUUUUUGUUUCUACAUUUAUUCUGAUUAAAUGUACAUAUGUGGUUAUUAAUAUAUUUCUUUUUCGUUUUCUUUAUAAUCAUAGUGACACCAUUAUUGUAUAAUUAGUGGUGUUUGCUGAGUUUCAUCAAAAUUGUACCAUAAUACAUUGAUUCCUAUUUACUAAUAGAUGUAUCUUUGCAUUUUUAGAGGA